UGGGUCGGCAAGACGGUCGCGUGGGUUGGUAACAACCACCGAGGAACGUCCGGGCUCCUUAGAGCAUGGCGGUGGGUAACACCCACCCGGGGCAACCCGCGAGAACAGUGCAACAGAAAACAGACCGCCACGUGCGCUUCGGCUCACGAGGUAAGGGUGAAACGGUGGUGUAAGAGACCACCAGCGGCCGGGGUGACCCGAUCGGCUAUGUAAACCUCGCCAGGAGCAAGGUCAGACAGAAUGCGUUACGGGCUGCUCGUCCAGCAUUCGGGUAGACCGCUAGAGGCGUGCGGCAACGUACGUCGUAGAUAGAUGGCCGUCGAUGGUGCUUCGGCACCGGGACAGAACCCGGCGUAACAGCCGGCCCAUUCC
rnacentral:RNase_P_RNA from 1 species